rnacentral:rRNA from 1 species
AGACGGUCUUGCUGUCACUUAUAGAUGGAUCCGCGCUGCAUUAGCUAGUUGGUAAGGUAACGGCUUACCAAGGCAACGAUGCAUAGCCGACCUGAGAGGGUGAUCGGCCACACUGGAACUGAGACACGGUCCAGACUCCUACGGGAGGCAGCAGUAGGGAAUCUUCCGCAAUGGGCGAAAGCCUGACGGAGCAACGCCGCGUGAGUGAUGAAGGUCUUCGGAUCGUAAAACUCUGUUAUUAGGGAAGAACAUAUGUGUAAGUAACUGUGCACAUCUUGACGGUACCUAAUCAGAAAGCCACGGCUAACUACGUGCCAGCAGCCGCGGUAAUACGUAGGUGGCAAGCGUUAUCCGGAAUUAUUGGGCGUAAAGCGCGCGUAGGCGGUUUUUUAAGUCUGAUGU